rnacentral:rRNA from 1 species
UACGUAGGGUGCGAGCGUUAAUCGGAAUUACUGGGCGUAAAGCGUGCGCAGGCGGUUCGUUGUGUCGGUGGUGAAAGCCCCGGGCUCAACCUGGGAAUGGCCAUGGAAACUGGCGAACUGGAGUGUGGCAGAGGGGGGUGGAAUUCCGCGUGUAGCAGUGAAAUGCGUAGAGAUGCGGAGGAACACCGAUGGCGAAGGCAGCCCCCUGGGCUAGCACUGACGCUCAGGCACGAAAGCGUGGGGAGCAAGCAGG